rnacentral:lncRNA from 1 species
AUUGUGAGUUAGUAAAUUAGAAGACCCGACAUUAUGUGCGUAAUGUUGUAAAGUUCUUUUGAUAUUGUAAUUUAUCUGUUACAUGGUGUUAUCUUUUGAUGUUAAAAAUUAUCUACAAAUGCUCUAUUGUAUAUAAAUAUUAAUUAAUAUGUAUUAGUAGGCAUACAAAUAUAGUACAUUUUACUAUACCUACGUUUGUUAAUAUAAUGUAAACAUUACUUAGUAUGCUAUAGUGACGCGUUCAUUUGAUACAUAACUUAUGUAGGUAUACACUCUUAUUGUUUAUAUUUUUGAAUAUAUUUGAAUUAACCUCAGCUCACUAUUGGCCAUGAAGGUGACGUAUUCCUGGUUAAUAUAUUCAUAUUUGUUUUUCGGAUCCGGCAUUUUGUGUGACAGAAAAUAUGAUGAUUCUUGCUCAAUGUUGGUAACUGUAGUAUAAUUAAUAAACAUUAUGUUAUUAUAAGUGACGAAAAUAGUGGUGAUUGGGGCCUUGGGGCAUAGAUCCCUAAAGGUUUAAUAAGCACUAUUAGUAGGUACCUAUACGAUCUUUAUUUGGGUACCUGGGGAUUAGGCCACAAUAAGCCUUUUUUUAAAAAUAUGAACAGUAAUAUUGUUCUACUAAAAUUUUAAAUUUAUAAAAUUAGAUCAGGUGAUCGGGUCACUGUUUUAUUUUUACUUUAUUAUUAAAUCCGGCAAAGCGAAAUUUAUAUAAGAUACAAAUAGAAUUGUAGGAACAUUUAAAGUGAGAAAAGUAAUUUUAAUAUGAAAGAAAUAUAUUUUGAAUGAAAAUAUAAAUAUAAAAAAAAGGAAAUACCUGCGUCCUGCAGAUUUAAAUUUGUGAAAUCUCAUAUGUGUAUUAUUUAAAAAGAACAUUUUAUUUUAAGGUAAUUGAAAAAAAAAACAAUAUAUAAUUUCAUUUCAUUUUCUGUAGAGCUAGUUUUGUAUUUUAUAUUUAUUCAAAAUAAAAGAAUGUUAUAAUUAUAUAGGUACUGUAGCUUGUAAAAUAGAGGUUAUAUGUUCGUAUUUACAUAUUUAUAUAUUUGUGAUGUAUAUAGUAUUAUGUAGUUCAAUCCCUGGAUAACCAUUUAAAAUUAUAUAUUUUAUUUGUGGCCUAUUACCCGGUUAAUAAAAUGUAAAUAAAUAUUAUAUACUAUGCAGGUAGAUAAAAUGUGACCGCCCAAUUAAUAGGUACCAUCUAUCAAUAUAAUAUAAUCUAUAUUUAAUAUAAUGUGUUCUUAGUACUUAGCAUGCGAUAGACCUUAUGGCUUAUACUCAUAGACGGAGCAUCCAGUGGGAUGCGGGUUGGUGGUGCGGUCAUUCCUAGGGUACUAGCAAUGAUUUCUUGCGUCCAAAAACAUUGUUCUUAACACUUACUAUAUAAUAUUAUACUAAUAUUAUACAACUUUAUGAAUAUUUUACUAUGUGAUAAUGCUAUAUUAUAAUAUUUAAAUAUGAUAUAUAUCAGGGUUGGCGAAUCUAUGUCAGGCGUGUCACGGAGUGACACGCGCGCAUUAAUUCAGUGACACGCCAAUUUAAAACAUAAUUCAUAAUUUUUACUUCACUUUCCAAAAAAAUUAUAGAUAAUUUGAAACUAUGUUUAACUUAUUAUUGGAAUAUAUCGUAAGAUAUUGUAAUCUGUACUUUCCAUUUCCUAAGCUCGUAAACGAAACGAUUAGAUUAUCAAUAAAUUCGUUAGGAUUUACCAAUUAAUAGCGUUUAAGUACAAACGUUGUAACGUAGGUACAACAGAACAGUCGACAGUCGUCAACAGAUAGUUUCGGAUGCCUAAGGCGAUGACUAAAAUAAUU